AUGGGAAAAGCACAAGUGCCCCAGGAACGGCUGAUGUCCCGGCAGGGCCCGGCCCGAGGCCAGGUGCCAGGCCGCGCUGUCCCCGAGUGCUGCCCGCAGCCGCCGUCCCUGCCCCCGCUCCCCCCGGCUCCCCCAGCUCCCCUGGCUCCGCAUGGGGCCAGGCCUCCCCGCGGGGCUGGAGGCUGGAGGCUGGAGGCUGGAGGCUGGAGGCCGCACCCGCAGCCCUCGGCGCCGACGGGAUGCGAGCGCUGCCCACACACGAGGGGCCUGCGGGGCGGCCAGGCCUCCGUGCACCUGCCCAGGCCGUGGGAGGAAGGCCCGGAGCUGGGCCCGCCUGGGGCUCUGCCGGCUGCCUCAGCGCCCCUGCGCCUCCAGGGCUCCCUCCCUGCCCCCCCCUCCUCCCCCUCCCUCUCUUUCUCUCCCCCUCUCUCUCUCCAUCCCUCUCUCCCUCCCUCUCUCUCCCUCCUUCUCCCUCUCUCCCUCUCUCUCCCUCCCCCCUCUCUCUCCCUUUCUCUCCCUUCCUCUCUUUCUCCUACUCUCUCGCUCCCCUACCUCCUCCCUCUCUCCCUCCCCCUCUCCCCAUCUCUCCCUCUCUCCCUCCCCCUCCCUCCUCUCCCUCUCUCGCUCCCUCUUCCCCAUCUCCCUCUCCCUAUCUCUCUCUCCCUCCCCCUUCCCUUCUCUCUCUCUCUCCCUCCCUUCUCUCUCCCCCCUUCCCCCUCCCUCCUUCCCUCUCUCUCUCUCUGGCACAGGCCUCACUCCCACCCUGGGGACCGAACCCUCGGAUGUUCUUUACCAUCACUGCGCUGGGCCUUUGACAAAGCCCGGGGCGAGCUGUGUCUCCCUGGCUGUCAUGUGGACCAGCGGAGUCCCCACCUGCCGCUUAGGGAGGCUGCGAGGAGGCCAAGGAGGCCGAGGAGGCCGCGUCAGCUGCCCCAGCCCAGGGCUGGGCCAUCAGAAAAUCCCGGGUUACUAGCUGACCCAGCCAAACCGGGUAUUCCCCAAUUCUGUGAGGAAUACAGCGUGAGAGCAAGUUCCAGAAACAGGUUGAGAAUCUUUAGCCCUCUGGUUUCUCGCUGGGGUUUUGGCCUCAUGGCAAGAGCCUCCCGUGAUCCCAGAGGAGCUCGCUGUCAGGGGUGA
rnacentral:lncRNA from 1 species